GGGGUGUAAGUGAGUCGAGCUAGCUCGCGAGCUACUCGGGAUCGACUCGGAAAUUACUCGAAAUCGACUCGAUGUUAAUCGAGUCGAGCUCGAGCUCGAGCUACUCGACUAUAUACCGAGCCCGAGUUCGAGUUUCUUGAUACUCGACUCGUUAGGCUCACGAGCCUAAUCGAGCUCAAAUAAUUAUAUAUAUAAUAUAUAAUAUAUAAGCCCAAAAUUAAAUAUAUUUCAAAGCCCACAAAGAUGGCCCAAUUCCUAAGCCCAUCCUAACACAACUAGUGAAUUUGAAUUAAACAAACCCUAACUCACAACAGUCAACAGCUGCCGCCCACCCCCAAUCUCUCAUCUCUCUCUCUCGGCUGGCCGGUGACACGCACUCCGGCACUCGACGCGACGGCGGUUCGGCCUUUCCGGCGAAGGUCCGGAGAGCUUAACAGCAGCAGUAGUGCAGCACGCACGGUUCAGUGCGAUUCUGCGCUGCACGACCUCCAUCCACCAUUCCCGCCGUUUCUUCUUCCCACCAGACACUUUUCCACCGUCGCCCACUGUCAUCUCCGUUCACUCUGCUCAGCGGUCAGCGCGGUCUCUUCUUUUCUGCGCUAAUCAGUCGGCCGCAAAAGACAUCAGCAUCAUCUGGAUCGAGCUUGCUCCUCCGACUGCCAUUUCCCAGCCCACCGCGACAGCAGCAGCGACGCCGCGACGGCUCUGCCCUCCUCGGCGCGACAGUAGCAGCAGUGCAGCAGCCUUUAACAUGGUUGGUGUUGCCGUGUUGGUAUUGGAGAGACGACUUGGUGUUGCCGAUUCGGAAGCUGCAAAUUUAUAUUUUUAUGUUGUACUAUAUUUCAUUUAAGACUUGUUACUUUUUGAAUUUUUGAUGCCUUUAAACUAUUUGAAAGUGCAUUUUUAUGCUUUCGAUGUUUUGGAUAUCUAAGAUUUGUUAUAAUUGAUUUGGAGAAAGACUUUUGGUAAUGAAAUGAUUUGUAAUUUUAUUCAA